GACGAACGCUGGCGGCGUGCCUAACACAUGCAAGUCGAACGGGGUUGUUCCUUCGGGGACAACUUAGUGGCGAACGGGUGAGUAACGCGUGAGAAACCUGCCUUUCAGUGGGGGACAACAGUUGGAAACGACUGCUAAUACCGCAUAACGUAUUUUUAGGGCAUCCUUAAAAUACCAAAGAUUUAUUGCUGAAAGAUGGUCUCGCGUCUGAUUAGCUAGAUGGCGGGGUAACGGCCCACCAUGGCGACGAUCAGUAGCCGGUCUGAGAGGAUGAACGGCCACAUUGGGACUGAGAUACGGCCCAGACUCCUACGGGAGGCAGCAGUGGGGAAUAAUUGGGCAAUGGGGGAAACCCUGACCCAGCAACGCCGCGUGAAGGAAG
rnacentral:rRNA from 1 species